UGGGAAUAUUGCACAAUGGGCGAAAGCCUGAUGCAGCGACGCCGCGUGAGGGAUGACGGCCUUCGGGUUGUAAACCUCUUUCAGCAGGGAAGAAGCGAAAGUGACGGUACCUGCAGAAGAAGCGCCGGCUAACUACGUGCCAGCAGCCGCGGUAAUACGUAGGGCGCAAGCGUUGUCCGGAAUUAUUGGGCGUAAAGAGCUCGUAGGCGGUUAGUCGCGUCUGCUGUGAAAACUCGAGGCUCAACCUCGGGCUUGCAGUGGGUACGGGCUGACUAGAGUGCGGUAGGGGUGACUGGAAUUCCUGGUGUAGCGGUGGAAUGCGCAGAUAUCAGGAGGAACACCGAUGGCGAAGGCAGGUCACUGGGCCGCAACUGACGCUGAGGAGCGAAAGCAUGGGGGGCGAACAGGAUUAGAUACCCUGGUAGUCCAUGCCGUAAACGUUGGGCACUAGGUGUGGGUCCAUUCCACGGAUUCCGUGCCGCAGCAAACGCAUUAAGUGCCCCGCCUGGGGAGUACGGCCGCAAGGCUAAAACUUAAAUGAAUUGACGGGGUCAUAGCUGUUUCCU
rnacentral:rRNA from 1 species